GGGCAUAAUAUUAGCGGCCAUAGAUAACCCGUCAAACGCAGUGGAGUGGGCGCUGGCGGAGAUGGUGAACAACCCAGAAUUGCUGGCCAAGGCAGUGGAGGAGAUGGACCGGGUGGUCGGUCGCGAGCGACUGGUGCAAGAGUCGGACAUCAUGCAGCUCAACUAUCUCAAGGCGUGCAUACGUGAGGCAUUUCGCCUCCACCCAAUCGCUCCCUUCAACCUGCCGCACGUCGCGAUUGCAGACACCAUUGUUGCGGGCUACCGCGUGCCCAAGGGUAGCAACGUCAUCCUCAGCCGGCUGGCCCUGGGCCGGAACCCCACCGUCUGGGAUGAACCGCUCCGCUUCAAGCCAGAGCGCCAUAUGGGAGACAACAUCAAUGUGGUGCUUACUGAGAGCGAAUUGCGGUUCAUCUCCUUUAGCACCGGACAGCGGGGAUGCAUCGCGGCAUCACUAGGAACAACCAUGAGUGUCAUGCUCUUUGGCAGGCUCCUGCAUGGCUUCACCUGGACCAAACCGGCUGGGGUGUCGGCCAUCAAUCUCAGCGAGUCCAAGCACGACCUUUUCAUAGAGAAGCCGCUAGUGCUACAUGCUAAGCCACGUCUUCCAGUGCACCUCUACUCUCUCAUGCAUUGUUGAGCAAAUAACGAGCUAUGAAUCACCGAUAUGGCGAGUACGCUAGCUAUUUUUUUGAUGAAUCUAUACUUACUAAUAAAGGAAGGAAAUAUUCUUUUUUUCGUCUCGCUUUGUUUCGUUCCACUUCGAUUGAUUUUCACGUAUGCUAGCUAUUUUGGUUUUGUCUGUUGCACGUACGAGCGAGCCGGUUUCUUUCAUGCGCCGCUGGAUCGUCCUAGGCUUGUCCAAAGCAUUGGAACAGUACGUGAUAGGCAAACAACCACCCAUCUAGUAUUAAUUUUGGACAAAUAGAGAUUAAAUGUAUACAAGAUGAUGCUCUUUAUAUCACCAACGAAGGAUGAAAGUAGGUCGGCGCAUAUAGGGCAACUCCAUUUGAGUUGUUUCUUCCGGCCCAAGUCCCAGGCGGGGCAGCAUAGCAGCCUAUAAUAGUCUUUCUAUUUUGGUUCAUCAAUUAAAUAGUACCACAUAGUUUUCUUACUUUUAAUCCCACAUAGUUUUCUUACUUUUAAUCCUACAAGUUUAUAUACGCUAGCAUUAAAAAACUCAGAGAGUGAGGUAUGCAAUGAGGAUGCACAUUUCGAGGGUGAUCAGAUCUGAGAUUAUAGGCCAAUGAAAGCAAUACAGACACGAUUAAAGAUCUGUGAUUAUGGGCCAAUGGAACUAGUGAAAACCCAACUAAAUAUCUGAGAUUGUAGGCCAAUGAAAGAAAUGAAGACCCGAUUAAAGAUUCAAGACUAUUAUGGGCCAAUGGAAGAAAUAAAGACGUGAUUAAACUUGCAAACUCAUGCCGAUGUGCAUGGUGCAUAAUUGAAGGACUCGUGGGCUAAAUCAUUAUAAUUUACACGAAAGGCGAGAAGCAGAUGGGUGGGGUAGACCGAGAAGGCAUUUAAGGACGAGGAGGAACUCGCAAUUUUCACACUUGACGCAUACGACCAGCUCGUUGCCACACUCACGAAACAUGAAAUCAUGGGUGAUGACACGCCGAGGUGUCCACCAAAGCCCGUGCCACCAGGGAGAUACCUCUCUCUCUACGGAUUUUUUAUUUCUUGCAAUUAAUUUUGAUGAUAAAGACUAAUGUUUGUCCCGCGUUGCAACACACGGGCAUAUGUGCUAGUAAAUCAAAAGGAAAAAAAAACUGAAAUAAAAAUUAAAAAUAAAAACCUCAAGGAAAAAAACCCAACAAAAAGCCCAAGAAAUACCGGAAUGGAAUCAAACCUUGGAAGAAAAAACCACAAAAUCAGCACAACAAAUGCCGAACCAAAUACAACGAAAGCAACAGAAUAAAAAGGGAGCAACUAGUUGACGAGGGCUCCUUCGGGAGCCUCGCAACGAUCAGCGCCACUUGGCGCGCUCUCAGCCGCCCUGCCACAUGUCGCGCUCUAGACGCUCCUUUCGUAUUUUAAUAUUUUUCGCACGCGUUUUCGGCUUUUUAAAUGGUUUAUUUGGGGGUUUUUUCGACGUUUUGGUUUUCCGCAGCUUUUAGGCCAAAAAACUCAAAAAACAAUUGCGUGAAAAAGCACAUUUUUUUCUUCCGCGAGAGGCACGGUUUUGCUUCCGUGAGAGGCACGGUUGUGCUUUCGCGAGAGGCACAGUUUUGCUUCCGCGAGAGGCACGGUUGUGCUUUCGCGAGAGGCACAGCCGUGCCUCUCGAAAACGAAAAAAAUGCAUUUUCUGGUUUUUUUUCCUUCCGCGAGAGAAACGAUUUUGCUUCCGCGAGAGACACGGUUGUGAUUUUGCGAGAGGCACGGCCGUGCCUCUUUCAAAAAGGAAAAAACGCAUUUUUUUUGUUUUUUUCCUUCCGUGAGAGGCAUUGUUUUGCUUCCCCGAGAGGCACGGUUUUGCUUCCCCGAGAGGCACGGUUGUGAUUCCGGUAGAGGCACGACCAUGCCUCUUUCGAAAAGGGAAAAAACCAUGCUCUUGGUUCGGUUUUUUCGUCCUGUUUAUUCAUGAAGAAAAAGUUCGUUAAAACCUAUCAACAUGGUAUCUAGUUUUUAAGAUCUCGACGCAAGGAAUCGAACGGUGAAAACGGUUCGAGAUUUGGAUGCACGGUUUAAGAGAUAAAAUGUUUUCAAUAAACGGAUCUACAAAAAAAGAGAAAACUCACAUGUUGUGACAAAUGAUGCGUGCCAUUUGUCACAACCUGAGAAGGCGGUUGACACGAUAAACUCAAUUGGCAUUAAUGAUAGAGAUAGGGUAAGUGUCAUGUCUUUAUGUUCCUUCCAUGUUCAUGCUUCUUUUUUGGUGUUUCAAGUGCUAACUUGUUCUUUUGUUUGUAGGUCACUAUUGCAUAAAACUUAUUUCAAGGAGAAGAGAAGAAGACCAAGAAAAGGAAGGUCAAGAAAGGGAGACCAUUUGUGUUGGCCCGUUGCUACAAUGUGUUGAAGGAUGAAGAGAAAUGGAAGGCCCAUGAUGACCAAGAGGAGAGCAAGAAAAGCAAGGCAACUAUUGAUUUGGAUGAUGAGGAGGAGGAGGAGGCAUCUAGUGAUGGCGGCAGGAGAAGCCCUACACCAAACUCGGUUGCCUAGUCCGAACCAAAGAGACCAAAUGGAGGCAAGAAAGAUGCAAAAGAAAAGAAGAAGAAGAAGAAGAAGAAGAAAAAGAAGAAGAAGAAGAAGAAGAAGAAGAAGAAGAAGAAGAAGAAGAAGAAGAAGAAGAAGAAGAAGAAGAAGAAGAAGAAGAAGAAGAAGAAGAAGGAAGCAAACGAGGUGAGGAUGAUGACAAGGAGCCAAGAUGCGGCGGCCGAGGAGAGGAGGGUGGAUGCCGAGGAGAGGAAGGUGGCAUUGGAGGAGAAGAAAUUGGCCAUGGAGGAGCAAUCUAGAUUAUUGAAAUGGGAGAAGCACUUGUUCUUUAUGGACAGAUCUAAACUCGAUGAUAGGCAAAAGGAGUACGUCAUUCUUUCCCCUGAAGAAGUCUUGGUCCAAAAAAGAGCCAUGGCCAUGGGUGGCAUGGGUGGCUUUGGAGCUACCAUGGGAGGAAUGGGAGCACCUACGGGAGGCAUGGGUGGCUUCAGACAUACCAUGGGCGGCUGGGAGGCAUGGGUGUCUUCGGAGCUACCAUGGGAGGCAUGGGUGGCUUUAGAGCUACCAUGGGAGGCAUGAGUUUUGGGUCUCUCAUGAGAGGCACGGGUGCACAUCCGGGUGACAUGGGUGGACGCAUGUCUUCCGGUGUGCCUCACAUACCUUCGCUUUUUCCCAUUGGAGAUCUUAUGAACACCAUCCGAGCUCCCGAUGACGAUGCGGCGCUUGAAAAUGAAGAGGAGGAAGAAUCAUCUUCGGAUGAGGAGGAAGAAUCGGAGGAAGAAGAGGACGAUGAUGAGUGAUGUGGCAUGAUUGUUGAUGUGCCAUUUGUUUGUGCAAACUUUUAUUUGUCAUGAACUUGGUUGGGUGAUUUUGAACUAUGACAUGCAAGUGAACUAUGCUAUGUCUUUGUUUUGCACAUUUGUUUAAUGAUUGAAACAUCAUCAUAUAUACUGUCAAAUGGGCAUGUUAAAAUCAUAUUUGCAAGCGCCGGCUGCUCACACGCUCGGUAAAUUAGCGCGCCUUCUGGAGCUGCUCGCGCGUGCCAUAUUUUACUGCGGCUGCUGGAGCCAGCGCCUUGCUUCACGCAAUAAACGCCAUUUUGACGUUGUAAAAAAGUUUGUGCGGGUCGUGCGGUUGCGCACCUGUUAAAGAUGCUCUUAGAAUCGUGUUUUUACGGCGCCUAUGUGAUGCCCUAUUCUGCAAGAACUUGGAGUUGCGGUCGCCCCUCCGGCCGAUGCAUCACUUCUUCCCUGUCGUAGAGCUCAUGCAGGUCUUUUUCAAGCCACACCGAACCGAAGUCAGUACGUACGUGCCCAGUUCUGCACGUGCUUGGACACAUCUUUUAACCUGCUAGAAGGAGGCCCAUGAGUCCACUCUUGCCUGCGUCGUGCAUGCAUGUCCCNNNNNNNNNNNNNNNNNNNNNNNNNNNNNNNNNNNNNNNNNNNNNNNNNNNNNNNNNNNNNNNNNNNNNNNNNNNNNNNNNNNNNNNNNNNNNNNNNNNNNNNNNNNNNNNNNNNNNNNNNNNNNNNNNNNNNNNNNNNNNNNNNNNNNNNNNNNNNNNNNNNNNNNNNNNNNNNNNNNNNNNNNNNNNNNNNNNNNNNNNNNNNNNNNNNNNNNNNNNNNNNNNNNNNNNNNNNNNGGGCUCCCCGUUUUGCGGUUUAUUUUGCCACCGGUUUUCGAAAGGUUCUAGAACCUUCCCAAAACCGGUUUUUUGGUUUUUUAUGUUUUCUAUAUUAGUUUUCCGUUUUUAUUUUCUUUUAAAUGUUUACUUUCUUUUCUUAUUUUUUCUCUCAUUUUUUCUUUCUUUUUCCUUUUUCCUUUUCUUCUUUUUUUCUUUUACUUUUUACUUUCUUCAGUUUUUGACUAUUUUUGGCAAUUUUUAUUUUUGAAUUCGUUAACACCUUUUUUUCAUCGAAUUCUAGAAAUUUUCAACCAUGUAAAAAAAUGGUCAACAAUCCAGAAAAUGUUCAUCUAAUUCAAUUUUUUGUUCAUCAGAUUUAGAAAAUGUUCAUAAAAAUUCAAAAUUUGUUCAUCGAACUAAAAAAAUGUUCAUCGGAUUCUUUUUUUGUUCAUUGUUUUCAAAAAAUGUUCAUCACAUUCAAAAAAAAUUCACUAAAUUACAAAUCUGUUCAUCAAAUUCAAAUCUUGUUCAUAAUUUUUUCAAAAAAUUUCUUGAAUACAAAUUUUGUUCAUCAAAUAAAAAAUAUGUUCAUAAAAUGCCAAAUUUGUUUAUCGAUGUUCAAAAUAUGUUCAUCAAAUUCAAAAACAUGUACAUUCCUUCGAAAUAACGAACAUUUUUUGAAUUCAAGAAAUGUUUUGGAAUUUGGUGAACAUUUUUUAAUUCUGUCAGCAUUUAUCAUUUCACGAACAUUUUUUUCAAAUCAUCAACAAUUUUUUGAAUUCAUGUACAUUUCACAAGUUGUAGCUAUAUUGAAAUCCCGAAUUAGUCUUACAAUGGAAAACAAUUUAAAAAAAGCAAAAAAAAGAUGCUUCGGCUUUCCCUACCCACACAUGGGCUAGCCCAUAAGGCGGCGCGGGGGAGCGGGGGUUACGCGCUCCAUCGUUCGUUGGCGCAUACAGCGCUAAAUGGGAGGUCUCGAUGUAGCAUCUCAUUGAAUCCCGGACAUGGUCCAACCAUCUCUUCAAACCGAAAGCUGCCCAUAUGGUUCAUCAUCCUGGCGUCUGAAAUACUUUUGGAAAGACAAUUAUGGUUAGUUUUCGGAUAAGUACUCUCGAUAAUCUACAAAUAGGAGAUGUUUUAUUGUAUUUUGAUAACUUUUGGAUAGACAAUCAUUACUAUUAAUAUCAUCCUUCAUAUCUAGAUAAAGUAAGACAAUCUAUAAAUAGAAGAUUUUUAUUCUGUUUUGAUUAAAUUUGGAUAGACAAUUAUUAUUAUUAGUAUUAGCCUUCGUAUCUAGAUAAAUAUAAGGCAAUCUAUAAAUAGAAGUUUUUUUUCUGUUUUGACUACGUUUGGAUAAACAAUUAUUAUUAUUAGUAUCAUCCUUCAUAUCUAAAUAAAUAGAAGACAAUCUACGAAUAGAAGAAUUUUCAUUCUGUAGAAAAUUAUUAUUAUUAGUUCAGGAUUAAUACAUUUGAAAUGCCAUGUGAUAAAUGUGGUAAACGAUCGAUCCACACAUGAGGAAUAUAUCUAGACAUGGUUUAGUGUUAGAUACGUAAAUACCUUCGUAUUUAAUAAAUCUAAGCCAAUUUUUUGGGACGGAGGUAACAUAUAAAGAAGGGUCUCGCACUCAUGGGCAGAGCAGCACGGAGAGCAAAGUUGGCUUCCCUACGCAACGAUAACAAGGGUAGCUACCUCGCAAACCUGUGUGCACUCUGCAAGCAGUAGUCUCCAUAAUGUUGGCUUGCUGCUGCUUUGUUGUGUCCCAGCUGCUCAUCGUAAUAACGCUCAUAUACCUUGUCAUUACCAAGAGCAAGGUCUGAUGUGGCACGUGCUCAUCAGCGAUGGUGCCGCUUCCACUUCCGCCGGGGCCAUGGCUGUGGCCAGUGGUGGGUAGCCUGCCCGAGAUGGUGGUCAACAAGCCAGCGUUCCGUUGGAUCCAUCGCGUGAUGAAGGAUAUGGGCACCGACAUCGCCUACUUCCGCCUUGGCGGCGUCCACGUGGUCCCGAUCACAUGUCCCAAGAUCACAAGGGAGGUGCUCAAGAAGCAGGACAAAAACUUCUCAUCCCGCCCACUCACCUUCGCCUCCAGCGCCAUCAGCAGCGGGUACAAGGACGUCGUGCUCUCGCCGUUCGGCGACCAGUGGAUGAAGAUGUGCAAGGUGCUCACCUCUGAGAUCAUCUGCCCCUCCCGUCACAAAUGGCUCCAUGACAAGCGCGCCGACGAAGCUAACAACUUGACGCGCUACAUCUACAACCUCACCGCCGGGGAGUUGUCAUCUUCAACGUCGGGACUAGCCAACGUCAAUUUCAGGCACGUCGCGCGGCAUUACUGCGGCAACGUCAUCCGCCGGCUUGUCUUUGGCCAACGGUACUUCGGAGAGCCUCAGCCGAACGGCGGGCCGGGGCCAAUGGAGGUGGAGCACAUGGACGCUUCCUUCGCCCUCCUAGGGUUCACCUUCGCGUUCUGCGUCAGCGACUACCUCCCGUGUCUACUUGGCCUAGAUCUCGACGGCCACGAGAAAAUUAUUAAGGAGGCCAACACAAAAGUGGAUAGACUGCACGACGUGGUCAUCGAAGAGCGUUGGAGGCAGUGGAACAGCAGCGAGAGGCAGGACGGGGUCCAGGACUUCCUUGACGUUCUCAUCACGCUCGCCGACGGUGACGGCAAGCCGUUGCUCAACAUCGAUGAGGUCAAAGCACAAUAUAAGGUAAGCAAAUUAUUAAUUAAUGAGAAAUUUUAAGAUGGUUCAAGGGCCUAGAUUGAAUUUAGUGACCAAUUGCCUCAUAGUCCUACAAGGUACUAAUACGUCAUCCAUGACAAAAGGUAAUAGCUCACACUAUUAAAUACUAGAUCUUAUACCGUAUUUCGCAGGUGUUAGAAAAUGGAAACAAUAGAAUAAGAAAUUAUGAAUUAAUAGUUUAAACAUAGCAUUAUUGUAAUUUUCUACCAUUUUGAUGUGAUUUCAACUUGAAUUGUAUUUAAAUUUCCAAUUAUUCAAUGUAAUCUCUCUUUAUGCAAAGGUAUAGAUUGUAAUAACUUACAUUUAUCUCCAUGGAAUGCAUGCAGGGCAUAAUAUUAGCGGCCAUAGAUAACCCGUCAAACGCAGUGGAGUGGGCGCUGGCGGAGAUGGUGAACAACCUAGAAUUGCUGGCCAAGGCAGUGGAGGAGAUGGACCGGGUGGUCGGUCGCGAGCGACCGGUGCAAGAGUCAGACAUCAUGCAGCUCAACUAUCUCAAGGCGUGCAUACGUGAGGCAUUUCGCCUCCACCCAAUCGCUCCCUUCAACCUGCCGCACAUCGCGAUUGCAGACACCAUUGUUGCGGGCUACCGUGUGCCCAAGGGUAGCAACGUCAUCCUCAGCCGGCUGGCCCUGGGCCGGAACCCCACCGUCUGGGAUGAAC
rnacentral:lncRNA from 1 species